rnacentral:rRNA from 1 species
AGUGAACGCUGGCGGCGUGCCUAAUACAUGCAAGUCGAACGGAGUGGCGCACGGGUGAGUAAUAUAUAGCUAACUUGCCCAUUACUAAGGGACAACAGUUGGAAACGACUGCUAAUACCUUAUAGUAAUGGACAGGGAUAUAACGUAUCAGCUAGUUGGUAAGGUAACGGCGUACCAAGGUUAUGACUCGUAACUGGUCUGAGAGGAUGAUCAGUCGCAUUGGAACUGAGACACGGUCCAGACUCCUACGAGAGGGGGCAGUAGGGAAUAUUGCUCAAUGGGGGGAACCCUGAAGCGGCAUCGCCGCGUGGAGGAUUACACUUUUCGGAGAGUAAACUCCUUUUCUUGGCAAAGCGGUACCCAAGGAAUAAGCACCGGCUAACUCCGUGCCAGCAGCCGCGGUAAUAC